rnacentral:rRNA from 1 species
UCCUACGGGGGGCAGCAGUAGGGAAUUUUCGUCAAUGGGCGCAAGCCUGAACGAGCAAUGCCGCGUGAACGAGGAAGGUCUUCGGAUCGUAAAGUUCUGUUGAAGGGGAAAAAGAGCGGAGAGAGGAAAUGGUCUCCGAUUGAUAUUACCCUUCGAGGAAGUCACGGCUAACUACGUGCCAGCAGCCGCGGUAAUACGUAAGUGGCGAGCGUUAUCCGGAAUGAUUGGGCGUAAAGGGUGCGUAGGCGGCCUGCUAAGUCUGGAGUGAAAGGUACAGGCUCAACCGGUACAGGCUCUGGAAACUG